rnacentral:rRNA from 1 species
CCUACGGGAGGCAGCAGUGGGGAAUAUUGCACAAUGGGGGAAACCCUGAUGCAGCAACGCCGCGUGUGUGAAGAAGUAUCUCGGUAUGUAAAGCUCUAUCAGCAGGGAAGAAAAUGCCGGUACCUGACUAAGAAGCCGCGGCUAAAUACGUGACAGCAGCCGCGGGAAUACGUAGGGUGCGAGCGUUAGCCGGUAUGACUGGGUGUAAAGGGAGCGUAGACGGUUUGGCAAGUAUGAAGUGAAAGCCCGGGGCUCAACCCCGGGACUGCUGUGGAAACUGUCUGACUGGAGUGUGGGAGAGGUAAGCGGAAUUCCUAGUGUAGCGGUGAAAUGCGUAGAUAUUAGGAGGAACACCGAUGGCGAAGGCGGCUUACUGG